UACGGGGGGAGCAAGGCGUUGUUCGGAAUUACUGGGCGUAAAGGGCUCGUAGGCGGCCAACUAAGUCCGACGUGAAAUCCCAAGGCUUAACCUUGGAACUGCGUCGGAUACUGGAUGGCUUGAGUUCGGGAGAGGGAUGCGGAAUUCCAGGUGUAGCGGUGAAAUGCGUAGAUAUCUGGAGGAACACCGGUGGCGAAGGCGGCAUCCUGGACCGAUACUGACGCUGAGGAGCGAAAGCCAGGGGAGCAAACGGG
rnacentral:rRNA from 1 species